rnacentral:rRNA from 1 species
UACGGGGGGGUAAGCGUUGUUCGGAAUUACUGGGCGUAAAGGGCUCGUAGGCGGCCAACUAAGUCAGACGUGAAAUCCCUCAGCUUAACUGGGGAACUGCGUCUGAUACUGGAUGGCUUGGAUCCGGAAGAGGGAUGCGGAAUUCCAGGUGUAGCGGUGAAAUGCGUAGAUAUCUGGAGGAACACCUGUGGCGAAAGCGGCCACCUGGACUGCACCUGACGCUGAAACGCGAAAGCUAGGGGAGCGAACGGG